GCGGAGUGCCUAAUACAUGCAAGUCGAACGAGUUCUGAUUAUUGAAAGGUGCUUGCAUCUUGAAUUUAAUUUNGAACGAGUGGCGGACGGGUGAGUAACACGUGGGUAACCUGCCCUUAAGUGGGGGAUAACAUUUGGAAACAGAUGCUAAUACCGCAUAAAUCCAAGAACCGCAUGGUUCUUGGCUGAAAGAUGGCGUAAGCUAUCGCUUUUGGAUGGACCCGCGGCGUAUUAGCUAGUUGGUGAGGUAACGGCUCACCAAGGCAAUGAUACGUANCCGAACUGANAGGUUGAUCGGCCACAUUGGGACUGAGACACGGCCCAAAACUAAUACGGGAGGCAGCAGUAGGGAAUCUUCCACAAUGGACGCAAGUCUGAUGGAGCAACGCCGCGUGAGUGAAGAAGGCUUUCGGGUCGUAAAACUCUGUUGUUGGAGAAGAAUGGUCGGCAGAGUAACUGUUGUCGGCGUGACGGUAUCCAACCAGAAAGCCACGGCUAACUACGUGCCAGCAGCCGCGGUAAUACGUANGUGGCAAGCGUUAUCCGGAUUUAUUGGGCGUAAAGCGAGCGCAGCGGUUUUUAAGUCUGAUGUGAAAGCCUCGGCUUAACGAGGAAGUGCAUCGGAAACUGGAAACUUGAGUGCAGAAGAG
rnacentral:rRNA from 1 species